rnacentral:rRNA from 1 species
UACGUAGGGGGCUAGCGUUGUCCGGAAUCAUUGGGCGUAAAGAGCGCGUAGGCGGCCCGGUAAGUCCGCUGUAAAAGUCCAGGGCUCAACCCUGGAAAGCCGGUGGAUACUGUCGGGCUCGAGUCCGGAAGAGGCGAGUGGAAUUCCUGGUGUAGCGGUGGAAUGCGCAGAUAUCAGGAGGAACACCAAUGGCGAAGGCAGCUCGCUGGGACGGUACUGACGCUGAGGCGCGAAGACGUGGGGAGCAAACAGG